rnacentral:tRNA from 1 species
UAAUUCAACUACAAAAACA